rnacentral:misc_RNA from 1 species
GUGUACACUUGUAGAAGCCUUUGCAGCCACGCAAGUGGUAGAUCUGGGCGACUUUAAACAAUCCCAGGAUCGCUAUGCAAGUCGGCCCACGCGCGUGGUGCCGGCGACACUUUCGAAUUGACGGGGACGCCCUAAAGCCUGUCGCACCAACUCUGUGUGGGAAACCGCCCGAGGGCCCGUGCUAACUACACGGGGUGGUAACAGACGACAUGGAUACUUCCACGCCUUUGGUGUGGAUGCUAUGGGUAAUCCGCAGCGAAGCCUCUAAGUCCGGCCGACGGAUACGAGGAACGUUCACAGACUAAGUGGAAGUGGGUGGAGCGUUUGCCGCUCUGCUUAAGAUAUAGUCGGUCCCCUUGGGAAACUAAGGGGGUGAGCACACUGCCUGAAAUUUUAACAUGAACGUGCGCGGUUGUAAGGUGAUUGAUUCUUAUAUACGCCAGCAGCGCACCUUCCCUAAAAUUUCAAGACUGCCAAUUGCCUCGCGGUUUGACAGCUCUUAAAACGUUCCGUAGGUGAACCUGCGGAAGGAUCAUUACAGAAAGUAAACGCGGGUCAAACCGCGAACUUUUAAACCUUUGAUGAUUGACUCGUGUUGCCUCGGCGGGCUCGCCCG